rnacentral:rRNA from 1 species
AGCGAACGCUGGCGGCAGGCCUAACACAUGCAAGUCGAACGAAGUCUUCGGACUUAGUGGCGGACGGGUGAGUAACACGUGGGAACGUGCCUUUAGGUUCGGAAUAACUCAGGGAAACUUGUGCUAAUACCGAAUGUGCCCUUCGGGGGAAAGAUUUAUCGCCUUUAGAGCGGCCCGCGUCUGAUUAGCUAGUUGGUGAGGUAAUGGCUCACCAAGGCUACGAUCAGUAGCUGGUCUGAGAGGAUGACCAGCCACAUUGGGACUGAGACACGGCCCAAACUCCUACGGGAGGCAGCAGUGGGGAAUCUUGCGCAAUGGGCGAAAGCCUGACGCAGCCAUGCCGCGUGGAUGAUGAGGGUCUUAGGAUUGUAAAAUCCUUUCACCGGUGAAGAUAAUGACUGUAGCCGGAGAAGAAGCCCCGGCUAACUUCGUGCCAGCCGCCGCGGUAACAC